UCUCUGACUCUCUGUGUUUAGUAGACAAAAAAGUCAUAAAAAAAAAAAAAAACCCUAUUAGCGUUUUUUCUCUGCAACAACUGAAACGAUUCGAUCUCAGCAAUGGCUAACAUUAAUCUCCCCCGACGAAUAAUCAAGGAAACUCAACGUUUCGUUAGUGAACCAGCUCCCGGGACAAGUGCUUCACCAUCGGAGGAUAAUAUGCGGUACUUCAAUUUGAUGACUUUUGGCCCAACACAAUCGCCAUAAGAAGGCAACCCAAAACUCAGUGAAGAUAAGGUGAAGCAAUGCGUUGACACCAAAUUAUAUGGAGAUUAGCCUCCUAAGGCAGUUGAAGAGGCACUGAAGAUGGUAACUUUGGAUGAAAAUAAUACAUCAAAUUCGAGGUUUCUUGGUGGAAGAGCAAAAGAUUGUAAAGAAGGUUUUUAAUCUCCAAAAAGCAAAGGAAAAACAAACUUCAAGGAGCUAGAAAGUGGGAGGGUGAAAGCAAAACUUUUUGGAUUUUAAGAAAUGAAUGAGAAACUGGAAAAGUUGUUUUCUUUGUUUUGAAUUCCCUGUUUUUAUUGGGUUUGAAUUGACAAAAUUUCUUUUAUAUAUAUAUAUAUAUAUAUAUAUGCAUUGUUAAUUUACAGUUUGGAUUCUUACUUUAGCAAAUCAGUAAUGCUAAGUUGCUAAUGCCGUGUUGUUGUUAUUUUCUUGCUGCCGUGUGGGCUGUUGUGGUGGUGUGUGUUGAUCUUGCUGGUGUGGGUGUUUUUUUUAGCCUUUUAAUGCUGCUGCUGUGAGUU